rnacentral:rRNA from 1 species
AGAGUUUGAUCCUGGCUCAGAUUGAACGCUGGCGGCAUGCUUUACACAUGCAAGUCGAACGGCAGCACGGGUGCUUGCACCUGGUGGCGAGUGGCGAACGGGUGAGUAAUGCACCGGAACGUACCCAGUAAUGGGGGAUAACACAUCGAAAGAUGUGCUAAUACCGCAUACGCCCUGAGGGGGAAAGCGGGGGAUCGUAAGACCUCGCGUUAUUGGAGCGGCCGAUGCCGGAUUAGCUAGUUGGUGAGGUAAGAGCUCACCAAGGCGACGAUCCGUAGCUGGUCUGAGAGGACGACCAGCCACACUGGGACUGAGACACGGCCCAGACUCCUACGGGAGGCAGCAGCGGGGAAUUUUGGACAAUGGGCGCAAGCCUGAUCCAGCCAUGCCGCGUGAGUGAAGAAGGCCUUCGGGUUGUAAAGCUCUUUCGCAAGGAAAGAAAACUUAUCUACUAA